AUUCCUGACUUCUUUGAUUUUUUGGAAGAGUUUGAGAAGGACUGUUGUUCAUUCUUCUCUAAGUAUUUGGUAAAAGUCACCAGUGAAGCCAUCUGGUCCUGGCCUUUUCUUCAUUGGGAGAUUUUUUGAUUGCUGAUUCAAUCUCCUUGGACUAUUCAGAUUUACUAUUUUUUCCUUGAUUCAGUCAUGGUAAGCUUUAUGUUUCUAAUAAUUAUUCAUUUCUUCUAGGUUGUCCAAUUUGUUGGCAUAUAGCUGUUCAGUGUGGCAAAGCUUUUGUAGCUUAGGACUUAAGCUACA